CAUUGGGAUAAAACUGUAAAAUCACGACCUUCCAUUAGGGGUGGCCACGAGCCGAACUCUUCACGACUAAAACCCCCCCUCUCUCCCCUUCCCCUUUCUCUCCUCCCCUUCUUUCCGAUUUCCCCUAUUUUCCGUUCCUUGCAGAUGGAGAUGCGAGUGAGACCCUUUUUCCACCACCUUCCCAUCGUCGAUCACAGCGAUGACAUAGGCAUUCCUUAUCGUUGACAGCCGAUGUGCAACCACGAUUGUUGUCCUCCCGGAACAAGCACGAUCGAGGGCCUCCUGGAUGCAUUUUUCUGAUUUGGUAUCUAGUUCCAAACGGUUCAGUAGCUUCUCGAAGAACCCUUUUUUGAUCUGUUAUUGAUAGUCUUAUAGAUAGAAUCCACACUCCCUCAAUUCUAGCAAAUCGAGAGACGGAGACGGAGCUUCUUUAGGUGAAAAUUUUGAAUUUUCUUCUUCCUUGCUCUCAUCAUCACCCGCUUCAUCUUCCUUCUUCACUGUGUUUUCUUUCUUCCCUCUUUGAUUCCCAAAAUCAAUAAACCGAUCUAGUCAGUUCUUCUCUGUUUCCUGGCCUCUUCUCCUCCACUAGCGACUAAAAUAGGACUGAACCAAGAAAAUAGAUAUGGGCCAGAUCCAGUACUCCGAGAAAUACUUCGACGACACUUACGAAUACAGGCAUGUGGUUCUUCCUCUUUGAAGUGGCCAAACUGCUGCCGAAGAAUCGUCUUCUCUCUGAAGUAAAUAGGAACGAGAAACAACGAAGAAUCAAAUCUAAUUGAAGACAUGGUUCAAAGAAUUCAUGGAAAGCAUAAAAUGAGUGUUGAUUUGUAUUUUGUUUAUCAGAAUGAAUGGAGGGCGAUCGGGGUUCAGCAGAGUCGAGGAUGGGUUCACUACGCGAUCCAUCGUCCCGAGCCAUGCAUCAUGCUCUUUAGGAGGCCAUUCAACUACCAACAGUAGCAGGAGAACCAGGCUCAACAGCACAUGCUCGCCAAGUGAAUGCUAAAUUGUUAACCCAGAAAAGCUUCCCCCAGAGGAAGGAAAAGAAACCCUUUCCCUUUUCCUGAUUAUACAGGAUUCCCUGCGUUUAGUUUGGAAUCUUUUCGUCUUGAAAAGAGAAAGAAGGAAUUAGGAUUUCGGAUAUGAGAGAAUAUGGUUGUUUUCAUUGUAAGCAGAACGCGCCUAGGAAAUCUAUUUAUUUGAAUUGUUCAUUACCUUCAAAACGGUGGCAGCAACAACAACAGGGAAUGCAGCAAUGAGGACGAGGGACAGUCGGCACUGCAGAAUGAACCCAACUGUGCAAGCAACGAGCAUGAGGGCUGAAUUUUGCAUGAUAACUGAAAUCCUGUCUCCGAUUGCUGAUCGGACAUUGUUGGCAUCAAGAGCCAGCCUUGCUGCAAUCCUCGCAAGGCUGGGAAGGUGGCAGAAGAAGAGAGAGGAUUUCAAGGAAGUCCGCUGCCGCUGCAACAGCUACCGCCGCCGCAGAUAUUAUAAGGGUAGUAUGAGGAUUAAAAAAUUGGGGAAGGGGAUCUUUGUCUCACGGUGAU